rnacentral:pre_miRNA from 1 species
ACCACUGAGCUAAAUCCCCGGCCCUAAAAAAAAUUUUUUUAAAUAUACAAGUAGGGGGCCGGGGAUUUAGCUCAGUGGC